GCCAUGGCCGGCAUGCCUUACCAUGCAGUCGAACGCGAAAGGGGGCAACCCCGAGUAGAGUGGCGAACGGGUGAGUAACGCAUCGGAACGUGCCCUGGAGUGGGGGAUAACCUAGCGAAAGUUAGGCUAAUACCGCAUACGCUCUCAGGAGGAAAGUGGGGGACCGCAAGGCCUCACGCUCAAGGAGCGGCCGAUGUCCGAUUAGCUAGUUGGUGGGGUAACGGCCUACCAAGGCGACGAUCGGUAGCUGGUCUGAGAGGACGACCAGCCACACUGGGACUGAGACACGGCCCAGACUCCUACGGGAGGCAGCAGUGGGGAAUUUUGGACAAUGGGGGAAACCCUGAUCCAGCCAUGCCGCGUGGGUGAAGAAGGCCUUCGGGUUGUAAAGCCCUUUCGGCCGGGACGAAAUCGCACGGGUGAAUAUCCCGUGUGGAUGACGGUACCGGAAGAAGAAGCACCGGCUAACUACGUGCCAGCAGCCGCGGUAAUACGUAGGGUGCGAGCGUUAAUCGGAAUUACUGGGCGUAAAGCGUGCGCAGGCGGCCUUUUAAGCCAGAUGUGAAAUCCCCGGGCUUAACCUGGGAACUGCGUUUGGAACUGGGAGGCUAGAGUGUGGAAGAGGGGGGUGGAAUUCCCGGUGUAGCAGUGAAAUGCGUAGAUAUCGGGAGGAACACCAAUGGCGAAGGCAGCCCCCUGGGCUAACACUGACGCUCAUGCACGAAAGCGUGGGGGGCAAACAGGAUUAGAUACCCUGGUAGUCCACGCCCUAAACGAUGUCAACUGGUUGUUGGGGGAGUCAAUCCCUUAGUAACGAAGCUAACGCGUGAAGUUGACCGCCUGGGGAGUACGGCCGCAAGGUUAAAACUCAAAGGAAUUGACGG
rnacentral:rRNA from 1 species